ACCCCUUGACCUCAGGACCCGGGACAGCACAGACAGGAUGGAGUGGCCCUUGCUCCUUUUCACCUUCUUUACUUGCUGCUCAGGUGAAGAAAACCUUUCCUUCAUGCUCUUGUCCUCUACAGAGGAAGGAAGGAAGCUAUCUCAUAUUUGGUGGAACAUUUCUCUAUCGAGCUUAGGGUUGCCUGCACUGACUGGCAGGGUUUCUGUUCUGUGCCGUGCCUGGCGCUGUCAGUAUACAGAAAGCAGAUGCUAGACAACUAAAUUGUGCCCUUUCCCCAUUAUUCUGGUCUGAUUCAUUGGUUUACUUGUGUUGCAGCAAACAAACACUUAUUGCUUCCUUCACAAAUCUCCAUUUCUCACCUAUGCAGGGUCCUUCGCCCAGUUCACCCUGACACAGUUGGCUACUCAGUCUGCAUCCCUGGAAGGUACAGUUCAAAUCUCUUGCACAAUUAGCAGUGGCUACAGCUAUGGAAGUUUCAGGUGGUAUCAACAAAAAGCAGGAAGGAGCCCAAGUUUUAUCCUGCGGCGGGACAUAAACCAAGACAAAACAGAUUUUGGACCGGAGUUCUCCAGCCGCUUCUCUCCUUCCAAUGAUGCCCCAAAGAAAGUGGCCAAUUUAACCAUCACCAAAGUGCAGGCAAAGGAUGAGGCAGACUAUUACUGUGUUACUUGGUCUGGAGACAAGUC